AGUUACUAAUUCAUGAUCUGGCAU
rnacentral:ncRNA from 3 species